UGGGGAAUAUUGCGCAAUGGGCGGAAGCCUGACGCAGCGACGCCGCGUGGGGGAUGACGGCCUUCGGGUUGUAAACCUCUUUCAGCUCCGACGAAGCGAGAGUGACGGUAGGAGCAGAAGAAGCACCGGCCAACUACGUGCCAGCAGCCGCGGUAAUACGUAGGGUGCAAGCGUUGUCCGGAAUUAUUGGGCGUAAAGAGCUCGUAGGCGGUUCGUCGCGUCGGCUGAAGCAACGGAGCUCAACUCCGGGCCUGCAGUCGAUACGGGCGGACUAGAGUUCGGCAGGGGAGACUGGAAUUCCUGGUGUAGCGGUGAAAUGCGCAGAUAUCAGGAGGAACACCGGUGGCGAAGGCGGGUCUCUGGGCCGAUACUGACGCUGAGGAGCGAAAAGCGUGGGGAGCGAACA
rnacentral:rRNA from 1 species